UCCCUACGGGGGGCAGCAGUGAGGAAUAUUGGUCAAUGGGCGGAAGCCUGAACCAGCCAAGUCGCGUGAGGGAAUAAGGCCCUACGGGUCGUAAACCUCUUUUGUCAGGGAACAAAGGCGGGGACGUGUCCCCGGAUGAGUGUACCUGAAGAAAAAGCAUCGGCUAACUCCGUGCCAGCAGCCGCGGUAAUACGGAGGAUGCGAGCGUUAUCCGGAUUUAUUGGGUUUAAAGGGGGCGCAGGCGGGCUGUUAAGGCAGCGGUCAAAUCCCGGGGCUCAACCCCGGCCCGCCGUUGCAACUGGCAG
rnacentral:rRNA from 1 species